rnacentral:rRNA from 1 species
CCGGCCGCCAGCGGCGCUCGCAAAGUUCGGAUCCGCAAGGACCGGGCCAGCGGGACGUCCGCGUGGCUGUGGUGCACUUUCUCCGCGGUCGAGUGCUACGACCGGUUUCGAGGCGGUCACAAGCCCGGCGGAAAGGUAGCGCCGCCCUUCGGGGUGUCGUGUUAUAGGCCGCCGCGGUGGACUCGCCGCGAGACCGAGGACGCUUGCCGCGCCGAGCGGUCCCGGGCCGUCUUGGGAGGUUCGACCUCGGCUGCACUGCUCCGCAGAGCACCGUAACCGCCGCCCUAGCACGGGUCCGGAGACCGCCGGCGCCUCGGGUCAGUAGCG